rnacentral:tRNA from 1 species
UAUGCGUUAGUGUAUGAAGCACGGAGACUUUUGAUGUCUUAGGGGAUAGUUUAAUUCUAUUGUGCAUAA